UCUACCAUAUUCCCUCCUUUGCCAGCAAAGUAAACUCUCUCCUUCAUUCUCAAAUCGCUUGUCCUCGUUAUUUGGCCUCGUGGACAAGUGGCCGAACUUUUGGUAACAGUAUCCACAAAGAAAAAGGACAUUAAUGGAAAAACAGAAAGAGAAAAGUUCAUCUCAAGAAGCUACUGCAGGUCCUGGGGUAUCAGUGAAAUAAUGUGUGGGAUGACACAGCAC